rnacentral:rRNA from 1 species
AGAGGGAUAGCCCAGAAAAAUUUGGAUUACUACCUCAUAGUAUUUUCAAAUCGGAUGAUUUGAUUAUUAAAGCUCCNACGGAAAAUGAUGAGGAUGCUUCCUAUUAGCUUGGUNNNNNNNNAACGGAUCCCCAUGGCAAAGAUGGGUAGGGGUCCUGAGAGGAAGAUCCCCCACGCUGGUACGGAGACACGCACCCCACUCCUUCGGGAGGCAGGGGUGAGGAAUAUUGAAUAAAGGGCGCAAUCCUGAUCCCGCCAUGCCGGGGGCAGGAUGACGGCCUUAUGGAUUGUAAACUGCUUUUACCAGGAAGAAACACCCCCUCCCGAGGGUGUUGACGGUACUGUAUGAAUAAGCAUCCAAUAACUCCGUGCCCUCGCCGCGUUAAGCGGAGGAAGCGAGCGUUAUCCUGAAUCAUUGGAAUUAAAGGGUCCGCAGGCGGCCAAGUAAGUCAGUGAAGAAAGUCCAUCGCUAAUCGAUGGAACGGCCAUUGAUACUGNUUGGCUUGAAUUAUUAGGAA